UAAACAAUUCUAAAAUGACAAAAAAAAAAUUGCAACAAUAUUAAUCUUCUUCAAACCUGUUCUCUUGCUAGUUCAAGCUCUUUCUCCAAUUGAAUCAACUUUAAACGACUACUUUCUAACUAUUGAACAUAUGCCUGAAAAGCAAUUCCAAAUCAAGUUAUUACAGAAGUUCGAAUGUUGCCUUCAGCCCAUCUAUUUCAGUGCAAACCAACAUCCACUUACCUUUUUCCGCAAACGGCUUUUACGAGCAACCACACGAUUUUGUGCAAGACGUCUUUGUAUCUAUAGAUAUUAAAGGUGUAAUGCACAAAGCAUAUUAGAACCCUAUUUAAGGUAAACAAAUCAUAUACAAACAACAAUUAAUAUUAGAUAUUCUAUGAAUUUAGCAGCUACUGAAUGAAACAGGUUUGGGGAACACAUAUGUUUCCAUUAAAUUAGGUUUGUUGAGAUACUGUAUGUCCAGUUGCAACUCAACAGGUAAACUCUCAAAUACAUAUUUAAAAUUUUUAAAAAUUCAUAUACUCAUAUUCUCGAACUAUAUACAUUAUCAAAUACAAAUAUUUAAAAAAUUGAGCAACUCAGAAAAAUCAUAAUAUCCUACGGGAUGUCGAGCAAUUUAUUAAAGAACCAGAUAAUGGUUUCAUCCAACAAGGCAUAUAGAGAACAUAAUAGCAUAGAGUACUUUACAUGGCCAUUAACAUGUGUUGUAAAUCCUAAUGUUUAACUAUCAGCCACAGAUGAUGCAAACCCGAUGCUAAAAUCAAAUCCGAUGCAUGUCAACUCACGUUUUCUGCAUCCAACAUCUUCAUUUUCAGAGAGUACGAGCCCUGCAUAAGGUUAAAACUUAUCAGAAGUAAUUAUUCCAAGGUUGAUUGUGGUGAAUCCUUUAUUACAUUACAUCUUAUUGACCUCGAAAGGCUGCCAAUUGGAAUAAAAAUGGUUCUUUUGUUACUGAUUGAUCUCACAAAUAAAUGCAAACUUUAGACCUCUCAACAAUCAACGAUCAAUUCCAAUAUAUUAUGUCAAACAAAUAACAAUAGAUGAAAGCACGAGGGACCUAUUUCUAAGCAAAUAAAGAGUAAUCUUAUUCAAAAAGGUUUCCAUUUUAACCAAAAUAAAUGCAUGCAGAAACCUCGAUUGUUCUUUGAUUUGAAACAUACAUAAAUCACUGUUUAGUUGUGAGAAUAAACUAAAACUGAGAAAACAAGCCUACUGCAGUGAGUAAGCUUGUGGUAUAUCAUAAUUGAUGAAACAAAGUUGGGAUAUAGGCAAACAACUAAAACUCAACUGGAUUACUGAAAAUGAUGAUUCAAAUCUGUUAUGAGUUUAAAUUUUAAGGAAAAAUUUAGCAUGUGAAUUAACGUCAAUAGGUCAAUAUGUUCUGCUUUUAGAACCAUUAAAAAUGAUGGUAAAACAUGCCCAUAUAGUUAAUUGCAGUAAAUUGGACAGAAAAUAAAUGUAUAACAAAGUAACCUUAGUCGUGUUUGGCAGGCAUGUAAAGGGAAAAUUGAAGAAACAAAUGGUUCAAAAACAAUAAUGGAAAAUCAAACUCCCCAGGAAAAGAAAUACUGACUUGCACGUGAAAUAAAGUACCAAAAAUUGCAAAACUAAUUCAGGCAGCAACACCCACCCCACCCUUUUUACCUAACACAGAUAAAAAUGAAUUCGAAACAAAGAUUCUACCAUAGGAAGACUUACAUGGUGAUGCACUAGAGGAGUGUCAACGACGAUGCUACAGAGGAGUGUCGAUGGUGAUUCGACAGAGGGGACAAUCAACUGUGAUGCAGCAGAUGGUCGGGGAAAGAUUUGGGGAUUUUGAUUUGGGGAAUUAGGGAUCCGGGGAAAACUUUUAGGGGAAAAAAUAAGGGAUUUCGGAGAUGAGUUGGGGAUAAAACUGAGCAAAGCAAAACGGAGCCGUUUCGUUUAAAAUAAAAUGAUACUUUGUGGCGUUUUUC
rnacentral:lncRNA from 1 species